rnacentral:rRNA from 1 species
UUGAAGCACGGACCAAGGAGUCUAACAUGUAUGCGAGUCAUUGAGAAUUAUUAAACUCAAAGGCAUAAUGAAAGUGAAGAUCCAAUAUUAUGGAUAUGAGGAGAGAUCAUGUCUUUAAAUCUUGAUAUUCUGUAAAGUUUAUUAAGUAAAGUAUGCGCAUCUCCUGGAUGUCUUAACCUUUGAAGGUAGGGCAUACCUAGAGCAUACACGUUGGGACCCGAAAGAUGGUGAAAUAUGCCUGGUCAGAACGAAGUCAGGGGAAACCCUGAUGGAGGUUCGUAGCGAUUCUGACGUGCAAAUCGAUCGUCGGAACUGGGUAUAGGGGCGAAAGACUAAUCGAACCAUCUAGUAGCUGGUUCCCUCCGAAGUUUCCCUUAGGAUAGCUGGCGCUUGUACCAGUCUCUUCCGGUAAAACGAAUGAUUAGAGGCCUUGGGGUCGAAACGACCUCAACCUAUUUUCCAACUUUAAAUGC